GAGUUGAGGUCGUAUUUGGCACUGAUCAAUUGUUCGGGUCGUAUUUGGCACGACUGAAAUAGUUAUGGUCGAAAUUGGCACUUUUCCCGCUUUUCUUAAAAUAUUUUAUCAAAUACUCACUUCAAGAUGUGCUUCUCUUCUUUUUUAAUUCAUUUAGUACUAUAAAGAAAAGAGCCAAACCUGUACUUGAUUAAAAGAAAGAAGAAAUAGACAUAAACCUUUUUCCUUGACUGAAGAAAUAGGCAAAUGUCUUCGUCAGGAGACGAUGAGGUGCACCUGGAUUUGGGAAAUUAUGGUGUAUUUUCACUAGAUGUUAGUUCAGAAAAUGAAUUUGUUCACUAUAAGUUAUCGUGUGUUAAUUGAUAUGAUGAUUCAAAUGUUUUAUGUGGUAAGUACAUAUUUUUAGGGUUUAAUUAUUCGGAGAGCAUUAUUGAUACAAAAGAAAAAAAAUGAAACUAAUAAGUAAAUCACAAGAGGACAAAAGAAAGAAAGAACUGAAGAGAGAACAGCUUAAGUGGUGUGGUUAUAUAUAGAAAGAAUUACACUCAAAGGCAGUUUUAAGUUUAUUAUAACACAAUAAGUCACUUUCUUCUACCAAGACACUUUCUUCUAACUGCUUUCUUUCUUUCUAAAUAGAUUAGUCACUUCAUAACUAACCAGCUGAGUAACCAAACUAUUAUAUUAGCGGGAAUUAACCUCCAUCACACAUCUCUCUUCCCACUCAAUGGUUCAGAUUAAAUCUAAUACUUUUGACAAGAUUUAUCUCUGUUUCAUUUCCUGGCCACUGGAUUUGCUUUUGGUACUUUAACUUUUAACGAUUCAGAUUAAUCAGCCACAUUCAUCAUCUCCUUUUUUUUGUCGUCGUAUUUCUUCUGAAAAUUGUAAUGGGCAUUCUUCAUCAUCUCCUUUCUUCACUGGCGUCUCCACCGCUAUUCUCAGCGAAGUGGGUCAGUCGUUAUACCCUAGAAUAAGAUUCAAAAUCCUCUCUUUCUAUUGAUCUCUCUAAGCAAAGUGAGUGAUUUCUUAUUUGUUUUGGGUCAGCAAUGAAUCUACUCCACAUCAAUCAUCAAUAACAUAGCUUUCUGUUUCAGAUCCAACCCCCACCUUCGUCGGCUUCUCAGAUUAUCACCAUAUUCCUCCACCACUCUCCAUCCUUCUGACGCUGCCGCAGUUGAUAUGGUAAGAACCAUCUUUUUCCCAUUGUAAGUUUCCUUGAAAGUCUGAUUCUUCUCUACGAAAAUUUCACAAAGUCUUAGCAAUCUCAACGUAUUCCAUAUAGUCAAUUUUAAAACUUUGAACCAAUCAUUGUUCUAAUUUUGAACCAAACGUUAUUCAUCCAACUUUAAAAAAUUUUGUAAGCCUUAUAAAGACGAGAUUUUGUUAUUGUCGCUAAGGUGGAGAGGAAGUUAGAAGUUUGGAUACUCUUGAGAUUUUUCAAAUUGGUCUGUAAAAAUAUGUGUAUUAUAGAUAUUUUUUGUUUUGUUUUCGUGGAUGGGUAGAGAAGUUGUUGACGUGCGUAUGAACAAAGAUUGACAUUGUUCCCUUUGUUAUUUCCAUUUAGUUAACUCCACAUGAACAUGUAGAAGAGAAGAUUCCUAUCUUCCUAUGGCCUCUUGAUGGGAAAUAUUGAGAAUCAACCAAGUCUAUAGACGAGCUCAUGUACAGUGUACACAACCCGCCAAGUGUUACUGAUCAAUGUGUACAUCAAAACCAUUGUACAUGUGUACACGUAACUUUAAUAUAUUACAUUUUCAGUUUACAUUGUUGUUCGAUUCAGAAACAAAUACAAGUGGACACUCCAUGGUCAAUUUUCUGUUUUUGUGAUGUUCCAACAAAAUGUCAUUUUGCUUCUUCUUUUUAAAAACUUUUAAUUGCAUGAGAAGUUCAAAGUUUGAGAUGACUCGUUUCAAAAAUAAUUGUUGCAUUCACAGGGAUCAUGACAUUAGUGAAUUCUUGGACCAACUAUAGUUAACGGUUUCUUAACCAUCUAAACAAAACUCAUUUCUAAAUUUUCUACAACAACGUUCAGUAGGAUGUCCAUGUGUACAUUUGCCUCAUAGUGUACAUGUGUACAUUUUGCCUCACAUUUGCCUCAAAGUGUACAUGCAUCAUUGAGUUCAGACUUGUCUUCGAAUGUAUGUUGAAUAACAUAAAACUCAUUUCACAUGUAUAUUCUUGAUUCUUAUUAUUGAAAUUGAUAAUAAUCGUAUAUUACAUCAUUAGAUUUAUGGUAAAACACAAACUAAACGUUAGGCACAAAAGUUUGAUAAAAACUAAGGUCCACCAUGAUUAUCAAUAAGAACCAUAUGUAUAGUGCAACAGAUAUGUACACGAUGACACUAAUUAGUUUUAGACUUACUUUUUAUUUUAAAUCAAAUUAAAAUAUUUAGCUACAGAAAAUUACUUUCAUAAGAAUACAGAAAAGUAUCAAAAGAAUAUACGAAAAUAAAAUUACAAGAAUUCGAUAUUUUGUUCAUUAUGAUGCUUUUUAAUUGAGAAAGGGUUAUGUUUAUAUUAUACUUAGUGGGACGUUAAUUAUGGCAUAUACAUAAUUAGAAUAAAAUCACAUGACGAUUAUAUACAAAAUGUUUACGAGGUUCUAAGAGAGUCUACAUACAUAUCCACAAUAUUGCUCAACACUUUUGACUUGCAUCGAUCUAGUUACUUUCAUGUUCCUCCAAUCACUUUGGAGAUAUAUAAAAAAUAAUUGAUAACUAGAGAGGAGCGCGGUGUCCAUGAGUCAUGACCUCGUCGUCUUCCACAAACUCAUGUGUGUCCAUAUGCAUGAAAACAGAAUUUAUAAGUACACGAACUAUAAAAAGGCCGUUAAGUUUAUUGUAAAUUCAUUGGUAAUUAGUUGACUUUACGUACUUACGACAACAUAAGUUUCUCCAAUCUCUUGGAGUUGGAACUACAAGUCUACAAAAGCCGUUAUUGACCCUUCGCCAUGUUCAAAGGUUCUUCUCUUUGGAGUAUAUUCAAUUUAGAAAACUGUUUUUUUUUUGGGACAAAAAAAAGUGCGUUGCUUAUGCAAAUGGCUCAGUGGCGAAUUUUCCAAGAAUUUUGACCUAAUUAGAGAAAUUUUAGCUCACAUCAUGUUCCACUCUUUGUCGGAAUUAGUCUCAAACUACUACUUAAAGGUAAACUUAGGUUUAUUCGCUUAUAAAUACAACAUGCAAACGAAUCAUAAUUUAAUGAAACUAGCUAGUCCAAAUACAAAUACAAUUUUGGAAGAAUAAUCGUGAUUUCAUAUAAAGUAGCCAUUGCAUCACUCCAAUUUUCAAAGAAAAUUAUACUUUAUUUUGUAGCUUCUUUUUUUUUCUUCUAAUGGUCAUAAAGAAAAUCUGCCUGCGUAUCUUUUUGCUUUAUGAUUAAUUAGACACUAGGUGGUUGUCCGCGAAUUCGCGGAUAUAAAUAUUGUAUAAAAAUAUACAUUAAGUAUAAAAUUUCGAAAAAUUUCCAUAAAUUUGAUGCAAAAAUAUCUGAUAAAUGUUUAGUAAUAACAAAUGUUUAUGAAAUUAUAUAUGUAAAUAUCAUAUUUACUUCUCCUAUUCUUAUUUUUUAAUACAUAUUAUAAAAUAAAUAAACCAAAAAUCCAUCUUACACUACAAAAAAAGGUAUGUAUUGUAUCACUUAAAUGGAAUCACAUAAAUAAAUGAUGUUAUUUUAAAUCACUUAUUUGUAAAUGAUACACAUAUAUAUAUAAUUUUAAAUCAGUUCUAAUAAUUGAUAGUAUAAUUAACUAAUUCGACAUCAUUUCAAUAAAAUGAUAUAAACUUUAUUAAUUUGUAUCAUUUAAACAAAAAUGAUAUGAUUCUAUACAUUUAUAUCAAUUAAAUCAUUGAUGUAAUUAUUAUUUUUGGUUAGCAUCACUUAUUAAUAUGAUAUAAAAUUCACAUCAAUAAAAAUUGAUGCGAAAAAAAUAUAUAACUGUGUUUUUCUUUAACGUCAAUUAAGUUAAAAUGAUGUUCUUUUAUUUAAAUUUUGCAUCAGUUAAUACCACUACAAAACUUAAAAAAAAAACAAUUUACUUGAACGAUUACAAAAAUAUCUCACACUUCAAAAUCCAAAGAUUACGGAAGUAGUUACUAUUCUUAUAGCUUUAAUUUAAUUGGAGCUUUAAUUUCUUUUAUAACUCUUCACUUCAAAAAUUAAGCAUCUUCGUCUUUUUGUUGUGAAUGCUCAUUCAGGGGUUCUUCUUCCUCUUUUAGUUUCUCAAACUUUCUUGUCUUAUGAGUCAUAAUGAUGGGUAUUGUUCUUAUGCAGGGUUGCUAUUUAGAUUCGGGGAAAAUUUUCUGAAGAAGUAUAUCUUUCUUUUUUUCUUCUUCAUCUUUUUUUUUCAUUUGUUGAAAAAUUAUACUUACAUAUUUUUGGUAGAAUGGUUUUUCUUUGUUAGGAAACAGAACGUCUCAAGACAUAAGAGAGAUGCGUCUACUCAAAAUCUAAAAGUAAGUAAAACUCUAAAGAAAUAGCAGUUGAUGAAGAAUUUUCUGAUGAAUCUCCUCCACUUCACUGCUAAAUCGAUUCAUUUUCACACCAUAAACAGAGACAUUAGAGAUAAAAACAUAGAUACAAGGAAUGAGGAUAAAAAGAAGAAGAAUUUCGAUUGAUGGACGCAUGAAGCUCUUUAUGGUAAAUUUCACCUAACUGUUUUACAAAUAUUUUCUAUGGUUCUUUGAAUUCCUCUUCUUCCAUCUUGUUUAAUGUUUCUCUCUAUAUUUGUUCUUUAGUUUUUUUCUUCUUCGUAAGAUUUAUUGUAUUUCAAUUAAAAAUUAAUGAAUAUUUAAUUUAUUUAUCCACUGAUAUUAUUUAACGUCAAUUAUGUACAAAUAAAAAAAUAAAACGUAAUUAUAAACAAUAAAAUAUUAAAAUAAUUUUGAUGUUUUGAUAUUAAUUUAAUUUCAGUUAUUAAUAAAUAAUUAAAAUCAGUUGUUUCAAUUGAUGUUAAUACUUACAUCAUUCAGAAAAACUGAUUUAAUUUUGGUAUCAUUUUGUAUAAUUGAUGCAUAUUAGUAUCACUUACAAUUAAUGACAUAAAUAUUAAUUAUUUUUGUAUCAUUUAUCUAUAUAAUGAUGAAAAUCAUUUGAAUCAUCAAUUUCCGAGUCAUUUAUCUAAGCGAUGUAAAAUUCUUUUACAUCAUUUAAAACUAAUGCAAAUAUUUAAAUUAAGUGAUGUUAAAUGACUAUUUUUUUGUAGUGCUAUAAUUCGUUUCAAUCAUAGUAUUACCUUAUUCACUAAAUUAAUUUAUUUAAAUGAAAAAUAUUUUUUAAUCAAAGUUCUCACAUGUUCCGUUCAAUAUAAUUCGGCUAAUCUUCAAAACCUAAUUAUUUAUAAAGCAUAUAUGAACAAUAUAAGAGAUUAAUAAUAAUAAAAUAUAUGAUUAUAUUUUUAUAUGAAUAUGAAAUCAUUAUAUGGAUUUCUAUAAAUUGUGUUCUAUUAAUUCACCGUCCAAACUAAACUAAAAUAAAUAAAAUUAAAAAUUAUCAACCAAGAAAAUUAUAAAAAAUUUCUUAAGACUUCACAAAUGAUCGACUUGUAAGCCAAAGUCACUUAAGUGAUUUUUCGUUUACUAUAUAUGCGUAUUUAUAUUUUUCGUAAAUGUCUUAUAAAUUCUUAUAAACAAUUUAAAAUUAUGAUAAAAUAAUUUUGUAAGCCAUGAUAAAUAAUUUUAUAAUUUUUUUAGUAAAAGUCUUAUAAGACAUAUAUGGACAUUGUAAUACAUUAAUUAAUACUUAUUAUAAUACUAUGCAAAUAUAGUGUUUUAUAUUAAAAAUUAUUAAAUCAUUAUAUUGAUUUCGAUAAAUUGUGUUCUAUUAAUUAUUUUAUGUUGUAUAUAGAUACAAUAGAAAUUAAUCAAACAUUAUUACACUUUCUAUAAUUUAAAAAAUUAGUUACCAUAAAUUAUUAUUUGUAAUAUCAUUUAGAUUAUUUGGUAAGUGACACUAAUUAGUUUUAGACUUACUUUUUAUUUUAAAUCAAAUUAAAAUAAUUGAAAAUCUCUUAACCAAUCAAGUUAUAACAUUUCGAAGGAACCGGACUUUUGACGAACCAGCCCUUUUUUAUCUUGAUCCUUUCUUAAACUCUCUCUAUCAUUGAUAACUAAACAAAAAAUUACUUAAUUGACUUUUCAUUUAAUAUACAGGAGGAUGAUAUUCUUUAAGGCUGUUUUUGUCGCUUCUGUUGUGGCAUACUUAUCCAAAAUACUACUACAGCUUUUAUAGUUCUGUCGUUCGUACAAUUAUCUCUCUGGCGGCUAGACCUAAUCCCUCGACGAGAGUGGACCUACUCUCCUCACAUUCCUGAGUACGGUUUCCGGGUUUGACACACCCAUUGGCACUGCACCAUCAGAAGAACUCAGGAGAAUAUGGAAUGAAAAGAAAAAAACAAUUAGAAGAACGUGAUGGUAAGUCUCUAAUAUUAUGUGAAGCUGUGCAUCGACGAACACUUGCAAACCUACCAACAACUAAUUAAGUGAUGCCUCUAAGGGAAUGUAAGUGAUAGUUAGCCUUGUAUUUGCAGUGGUAUAGUGUUGUACGAUGCUUUCAUUUUUACCAUGUAUGAGGAUUCAGUUGCAAUGCGUUGCGUGAUAGUAUCUAAAUCGUAUCAGACUAAAACUUUGCAUUUGACUAAUUUGAUUUCUUCUUUUUUUUUGUCACAAGAUUAAUGUGAUUAAGAUUAAAAUUUGAAUUUCUCAAGAAGAUUGUUGUUCAAAGGCCUUGCUAAUUUAUCAUAAAUAAAUCAUUGACGGUCCAUGCGGCCGUGCUAAGAUCUUACCCUACAUCAAGAAUUUUUAACAAAGUAUCAUCUCUCAGAGAUUCCAAUCCAGAUUUCUCAAGCAGAGUCAUGCAAAUUUGGUUCUCUUAAACUCUCCUGCAUUGACGUUUCUCGACGAACUGGCCGUAAUCACCACCAUACGAUCAUUUUCUCCAACUGUUGGACUUCGCCACUAUGGGCUUCAUUUUGAUGGGCUUCACUAAGGACAUACUCUAUCAACAUUCACUUUAGAUUCUAAUCAUGGGAUUAUAUCAGAGUUUUGUAAUGCAACUCUUGCCACUUUUUAAUUUAAAUGCACCAAAAGUUAGCAAAAAGAAAAAAAAAUAGAUUUUUUAACAAUAAUUAAUGUUAAUCAAGAUUUCAUGUAUAUCUCUCCACCAAAAACAGGGUUGCGACAUGUAAUAGAAAGAGACCAAACAUUUUCACGGGAGAAUAGGCAUCGAGGUUACUUGUGUCGUCUGCUCAUUUCUCACAUGCAUGCGUAAAUGUGUGUGGAUGAUGAUUAUGAUAAUGAUAUGAUGAUGGAAUGGGUUUUGAUUUGACAAGACGAGAGUCACCAAGCCAGCGAUUAGAUUGAUAUAUUACUUCAAUUCUUAUCGUCAGUGCUCAGUAGACAACUCUCCAUGUCUUUCUCUUUUAUCAUCCGUAUCGAAAGACAAGUCGAAGAAAUAUUAUAUUCAUGUCUUGGCAUUUGUACGACUGCCAGUACAAGCACUAUUCUGAAAGAAUAUUCUAUAUAGUGAUAUAUAUUUUACAUAUUUACUGGUUCAUAUAUCACUAGCAAUUAUAACUAGAACGGCUUAAGCAGUUUUUGUUUAUCUAUGCAGUAUUGAUUUAUUUGCUUUUUUGAAAACUACGCAGUAUUGAUUUCCGUUGCAAUAUAACUUCGUGCUGAGAGUUGAUUUCGGUUUCUGCUCAAAAUAAUAUUGGGGGAUUAGGAUUCAUAUUUUAAAAUGUUGUCAGGGUUCAAGUUUUUUUUUUGGUAAAAUGUCAGGGUUCAAGUUCUUUGAUAUUCUUUGAUUCUCUAUCCGUGUAAACGGUCUCAGAGUUUUUAGCAUUGAAACUAUUUUUGUUUUAAUUUUGAUGGCUGUUCUUUUAUUUUUAAAACUUUUUUUAAGAGUGUACAAUGGUGCCAAGACUAUAAGUAUUUAGACAAGUUAUGUUUGACGUACAAUAAUAUGAAUCUGGAAUAAGAAAACGAGGGGAGCUCAGAGUUACAGCCAAGAGGCACCGAAACAAGAAACCUGCAUCUGCAAGCAGAAGUCCCAUCUUGUUCCUUUGACUAUUUGCUUCUUCACUCAAAUAAGAUUUUUUUUUUUAAAACUACACAAAGUCCAAUUUUUCAUACGUUAUUGUGUAUAAUUUCAGGUACAACGUUAUUUUUAUUUUUCAAAUUCAAAAAAAAAUUAUUUAUCUGAAAUUUAGAUUUUUUCCCAUGAAUGUUUGUUUAUUUAAACUUAUGAAUUCCUUUUUAUUUUUAGCUCUGAGGAAAACAAUGUCAUUCUUCUACUUGUUUAAUUGUUAUAUAUAAACAUUCAUUUGGAAAGGAUAUAAUACAGAAUUUACUAUAAGUUAUUUUCAGGUUUAGUGGUUAAAAACAUAACAAAUGAAAUGUUAUUGGCAAACCAAAAUAACACACACAAGCACAUAAAAACAAAGUAUAUAUAACUCUCCUUUUUGUUCAAAAAAGAAUAUAUAUAACUCUAUGAUGCAAAACCAAGAGAAAGUAAAUACACCACCGUAUUAAUAAUUCGAUAGUUUCAUGAUAAAGUAUAAUGUUUAUUUGGCCAAGAUCUUAUAAAGGUCAGAAUUAAACCAGAUUUGUUUUAUAAUUUCCUAUUUGAUUACAAUUCACCUCGGAGCAUAAAAUAUUCCAAAGGCAAAUUAAGAUUUUCUUCUUUUUAAGACAGAUUCAGAGCCAAAUUUGAUAGACAGACUUUGUUUCUCCAUAUAUAAAUUGAAUAGAUAAUCACCGGUACAUAUUGGAGAAAAAAAGUUAUACAAAUCUUUGAUUUUCUUAUAUAGCAGAUCUCUGAUUGUUCCUGCCACAAACAUCGUGAUUCUGUAUGAAAUGUCAUUUCAAGCACUUUUAAUUAUCAACCACCAUUCUCCCUAUCAUAAUGCACUCUUACACAUACUCCUAUAUUUACACUUUUAAUACAUAAUCGCAAUAUAAAACUAAAUGCCUGCUUCACCAAAAAAAAAAAAAAAACUUAAUGCCUAAAAAGUCUUAGACGAAAGCUCGUGGUAAUUCUUGGAACAUCCUGUCUUUAUCAGACAUAUCUAUAUAUAAAAGUGACCAACAUGCUCUUAUAGUUAAUUCGAAUUGUUAUCACCUGUCCGAGCAUAAAUUAUUUUGUUUACUAUCAAUCUUUUUUUUUGGAAACUUAUCAAUCUUUUGCAUUAAAAAGUGUUUAUAAACUUGACAUCUUAUUUUUUUUUUCCGAAAUUUUAUGCAAAGUUGCGUUCGUAAUAUUGAUAUAAACACAAUCAGUAUGUAUAUGUAUCCGCUACAUCAAAUAGAAAUCAAAUUUCUAGAUUUAAAAUAUAUAUUGCCCAACAAAAAGAUUUAUAAUAUAUUAUCUUCGUAUGUGUAUAUCUAUGCAUAUUGACAUAUUUUGGUAUAAAUACAUGAACUUAAACGUAGAUUAAGAUUUUUGUUUCAGGAUAUAGAUAGGCAACAUGUAGAUAAUCUUGGUGAUCUCCCCAAGCAUAAGACCCAUACCUGACAAAAAUGUAAAUUUAUUUCAUAACCAUAAAAACCACAAAAGAAAAACAUUGUUAUAAGUUGGGAAUAUACGCUAGUGUGAAUUAAAUGUUUGAAUUGUGUCUCUGCCCGGCCUCUUUGUGCCCUCAACGUUCACAGAUGGAUUUACAUUUUUUUCAACACAUAUUUUCAAGAGAUAUAUAUACAAAGGAUGCUAUUGUCAUUUUAUUCUGUCCGACAUAAGUCGGUAAAACAAAAACUUUGGUCUGACUUACUUCUACAGGUUUUGACUGGUCUUAACUCUCAAGUAUAUUGUUUUAUAAGCUUAUUUAGGAAAAUAAUCAUUUAUAUUAGAGUAUUUUGAAGAUAUUUGGAGCAAGCAACCAAAAUGACAAUUAAAAUCCAUAAUCGGUCGAUAUUAGAGAGCUAGAUUAAUCGAUACACAAGUUAUGGUGUCGAUCGAUAGCGAAGCGCGCAGAAGCCCGUUUGGUCACAGCCGACUUGAAGCCUAAGAUUUCACAAUUUUACAAGAUUGCUCCUGACAAAUUUUACCCUAAUUAUAUAAGCUUUGCCGCCAUGUUAGAGGUAAAGUGUGCUUUUGUUUUGUGUUCUUCUUUGUGUUUUAUUGUUUACUGAUAGAUAGGAGAGAAGAUCCAAAAUUAUAAUUUGUGAUUGAAACUCCAUUGAUAUUUAUCUUAUCUAUUCUAUGCAGUUUUUAUAUCUAACCAUUGUUAUGAAUUGUUUAGCUAUGUCUGAGUAGUUCUCUUGUUAUAUUUUAGAGUUUAAAUAGGUUAGGAGGGAUUAGCCCCAACUAUAGAUUGCUGAGUUGUGAUAAUCAUCAUUAGAAUUGUUCAUUAAUGUAUGUCUCUAGAUUAACUACCUAGAACUUGUCAUAGGAUUGAUUGAUAAAAGCCAUAGCUAAUUCUCAUCUUAUAAACAUUCUAAUUGAACUUCGUUUCUUACAAUGAGCAAGGCGAGAGCUGAUCUAGUAAGCUUAGUAAACAUUUAUUCAACAUGCGUAUAAAGCUUGACAUACCAUUCGAUUGUGGUAUUGUUGGCACAUUAAGUUAAUUAGUGUGUGCUUAAACUCUUAAUCAGGUUUGAUUCCUUUCACAUACAAUUUUUAAAUAAAAUUUAAAACGACAUUGUUUAGACUUAACAAAGAUUAGAGACGGCGAUUAAUCCGUCUAAUCAAUCAGUUACCUAAGUUAACGUCAACUUUAAUUUAGUUUAGUCAAAUUAAUUUGAGGUUUAAAGUGAUAAUUCAAGUUAAGUUGGUGUUUUAAAUAGUUCAAGAAAAAAUUUAUGCAUUUCUUUAACCAAAUAUGAAAAUCGGUGGUUUAAAUGACCAUUUUCCCAAACUUAUUUAGAUUAAGUUGAUGUAUUAUUUCCUCGUGUAGCUAAUCACGUAACAGUUCAGCAAUGGCACGUAUUAACAAUUUCGGAUUCGACAAAAAAUGCAUAAUUCUAAAUAUCGUUUAACAACCCCACGUCACUCCCUCAAGCCACUCCGAGUCUCCAUCCACUAGUUAAAUCUAAUCUUAUCAAUUAGUCAGAUUUUAGUUAUAUUUUGGAUUGUGGGUCAACUUGCAUGAGAAAUAGCUCCAGUAUAUUUGAAUAUGAGUUUAUUUAUUAAUUUUUAUCCCUAAUCAAGUAGGCUCAACAAUUUUGAUAUCCCAACAAAACAAAUGGCAAUAACUCAGCUACCUUACUUGCUGCUUAUUAAGAGCAUCUCCAACCCAUUUCUAUAAUAGAGAUCUCUAAAAUAGAAAAAAAAAUAGAAAUGGUGUUUUUGCUCCAAUGUGUUCUUCUAUAAUAGAGGAAUGCUAUAUUUGCCUCCAUAAAUAGAAGAAUGCUAUUUUUUCUCCUAAAUAUAGAGGAAAAAAUUGGAUUCCUCUAUUUAUGGAGGCAAAUAUAGCAUUCCUCUAUUAUAGAAGAACACAUUGGAGCAAAAACACCAUCUUUAUUUUUUUCUCUAUUUUAGAAAUCUCUAUUAUAGAGGUGGGUUGGAGAUGGUCUAAGUACUUCAUUUUUCACUUUUAGGCUCCGAAUGGUGAUUGCGGUUUGAGCGGUGCGGGACAAGCGGUUCAAUUGCGGUGCAGUUUUAACAGUUAUAAGAACGUAUAGAUAUAUGAUAUAUGUAGAGAUUUUUGUUAAUAUUAAAUACGGUGCAAGGCGGAGCGGUUGUAAACAUUCGAAGCAUAUGCAUUAUUUUUUACUUCAUUGGUAUUUUUUUAUUCAUUUCUUCAUUUCUUUGUUUUUUGAAAAUACAUUUUUUAAUUACAAAUUGGUCUCUCAACUUUAACUUGUUUUUAGUUUUUACUUAAAUAAACUAUAAAAACUAAUAUUACCAACUUACUUUUAAAGUUUUUAUUAUUAUUUUUAUUCAAUCAAUUUAAAAUAUUAAAUAUACUAGAAACAUGUUUUUUUAACUAAUAUUUAGAUGAAAAACAGUUACAUAAAUAAUAUAGAAACUCAAAGACUUGAUAAACAUCAAUCUAAAAUAUAUAAAAAAAACUUAGUACAUCAUAAACUAACACUUAAUAAUCUGGUAAAUUAUUUUCAGAUUCACUAAAAUUGUUAAAAUAUUGUCCAAAUAAAGUGGUUGCUUGAGAAGGCUGUUGAGCUUGUUGUUGUUAACUCAUUUCUAUUAAAAUUCGAUUUUGGUCAGACUGAAUGUAUGCACGAACGUUAGGAUCUUAUAUGGAGUUCAAAUCACGAAAUAAAAUUUUGUUUUCUUCUUUUAACUUCUUCAAAGCAUAAUUCUUGUUUUGAAUCUCCAAAUAUUGUUAUCUUUGUGCGAUUGUUUUCUUUAAUUUCUCCAAUAGUUUUUUAUUUCCUUCUUCCUAGGUGUUAAUAACAAGCGAUACUAUUAGAGAUGUGUACUAAUUAUAUUGUAUGAUAAUGUUUAUUUAAUAUUAAUUAGCAAUUGUGGUGAAAUAUUGUUAAAAUAAAAUAUCUAGGUAAAAUUAGUAAACUAGUAAAAGUAAAAGAUUUUUUGAUAAAUAAUGAUAAAACAGAAAAUAUAUACUUGGAAUAUUCCUUUUUGAAGAAAAAAAUAAAGCAAACCAUUGGAGAACAUGCUUCUUCAUGUUUUGAAAAUCUUCAUAUUUUGAAAAAAAAAAUGAAGUUUACUAUUGGAAAUGCUCUAAGACCAUGAUUAAUCCGGAUUCUUAAGGUGCGGUUUUUAGUUUAGUUUUUAAUUAAGAAAAUCUAAGAACCGUUUCUUAAAGAAGAGAUAUAAGAAUCGGAUCCUAGCCAAAAAAUAU